CAGGGGGGAGGGAUAGCAUUAGGAGAUAUACCUAAUGCUAAAUGACAAGUUAAUGGGUGCAGCACCCCAACAUGGCAGAUGUAUACAUAUGUAACACACCCGCAUUUUGUGCACACAUACCCUAAAUCAAAGUAUAAUAAAAAAAAGGUAGGUAUCAAAAACAUAACAAUUCAAACUCUCUUUUAAUUAAAGUUGGUUCUUGUAUUGGUAGUAAGUAGGGAGCUUGGCUGGAGAGAUGUGUACAAGUGUAGAUGGAAGUCCCCGGGUAAAGCUCUUGUUUGGGAAGGUUCAUUUGAUUGUAUGACAUGUUCCUCCAUUCUCUCUCUCUCUCUGUCUCUGUCUUUUGUUGUUGUUGAUGUUGUUGUUGUUGUUGUUGUUCUAAGAAUCUAGAAUGAAAACCACAAGGCCAGGGUUUGCUACCAAAGACCACUCUCUCCUUUGCAGAAAGAGCUGCUUCUGAGUGAAAUAGAAGGACAAGGGUGCCAAAUUAACUCCUCUCCACAAAGUGACGCCACGUGGAAAAGUACUUGAGAAGCUCUGUAAAGACGUGGUAAAAGCUUACCAAAGACAGUAGCAUUAUCCUUUCCUUACACACAAAGUGGAGGGAAAGCGUGGAUGCAAGAAAGCAAAGCCUAGAAAAAUUAAAUGUCUAAGGGAACUAACUUCACAUAUCAAAUCAGAAUGAGGAAUAUAAACUAGGUCUUCUGGGUUUCUAAACCAUUUUCAAAGAGUAAGUGAUUCACAUUAAAAAGACAUAUUUCAGCUGCUCUGCCUAUGGAGUAGCCAUUCCGUUCUUUUAUUCCUUUACCUUCUUAAUAAACUUGAAAAAAUAAAAAUUAAAAAAUACUAAGACAUAUUUGUACUUUCCAGUUAGUAAAAUCAAAAAUUAUUUUCCACUUCUUAUUGUAGUAUCUAAUGAUAGAAAUCUUAAUUCAGCAUUUCUCAAUCUUUGGUGUGAAUAAAACUCACUUGAGAAAUAUGUUAAAAUGCUGGUUCUCAGGCCAUAACACAGAACUAUGUUUGUAAAUUUGAGAAAGGGCCCAGGAGAAUUUGCAUUUUUAACAAAAACUUAGAUUAUUCUGAUAUAACUGGUCACAGAUCUACACUUUGAAAUAUAUUGCCUUAAAGUUAGCAGAAAAUACUGACACACACUAAUAAAAAAUUGAGAUUUAACCCAUGGAAAGUCUACACUUUCCAUGUAGUCUUCUUCUUCUGACAACUGUUAUUACUUGCCCUCAAAUGACCUAUCGGUUAUGACAUCAUUAAGUACAACCAAGACAGAAAAAGUCUGACAGAACAGUAAAAUAUUUGAGAUCAAUUUUGGAGAACUAUUACAAGGAUUUCUUAAAUCUUUCCCACUCAGAAACUUCCAAACUAGAGCAGUUAUAAAUGAGUAAAUUGAGCAAUUUCUAUUUUCCUCAAAAGAAGCCCAAAAAUACUUUUAAGAUAGGCUGAAAAAUGAGUUGGCAAAAUACAGGGUUAAGAAGAAAUCCUUAAUAAAUCAAGAACACAGAAGUUGGGAGAGCAAAUUUAAAAUAGUAAUUCUAGAAUGAACACUAAUAGUUUUAGCCCACUAAAGUAUUUUUUUAAAUCUGUACAUAUCCUUAAUAAUAAAGAGAAUAGAGAACACAGCGUGAAAACUGCAUGGUGGUUGAAAAAGUAAUUGGAAACACUUAAGUCUUACACUAUUACUUCAUUUCAGAUAAGCAAACUAUAAAAAAGAGAAACAUUUAAUGUAAUUUUCUGAAUAAAUUGAAUUUAUUAGUUUAUCUUUGAAAUAGAAGGCUAUUUCAGCUUGUAUUGCUAUUCUAAAAUUCUUCCACAUAAUUUUUAAAUUAAUUAACUAAUUAAUUAAUUUUCCUUUCACCCUGUUGAUCAGGAUAAUUUUUAAAUUUUAUAACUAGACAGGUAUCAUUUUCUAAAAAUCUGAGAAACUAACCACUACUAGGAGUGAAAGCCUAGCUUCUGGAACUAUAAACAUUAAUAUGUUCUUUCUUUAAGGUUUAGAUUAAGCAUUAAAUAGAAUCAUGUAUUUAAAGGAAUAAGAAACUAACAAGUUAGAUUAAUAAAAAAACUUUUACCAGAUAAAAUGGGUUUUUUAAAAGUCCGUAAAUGCCGAAUAGCAGCAGAAAGAAGAGAAUCAGACAGGUUCGUCUUAGGGAAUCUAGGAGAGAAAGAAAAAGCCUUACAUCAAAUAACAUUAAUGAAAUAUGACAGCUCAAUGAAAUGCAAAUAUUAGGUUAUUGAUAAUCAUAUUUCAUCACAUGCAAUUUUGGAGUCUGGCAUUCUUUUUCAUAACUGCUAUGAUUUCCUGUAAGUAUCCUAUUAUCAAAAACUUCAUUAAGGCUGAGCAUGGUGGCUCAUGCCUAUCAUCCCAGCACUUUAAGAGGUCAAUGCAGGAGGAUCACUUGAGUCCUGGAGUUCAAGACCAGCCUGGACAACAUGGAAUGAUUACAUCUCUACAAAAAUUAGCUGGACGUAGUGGCACAUACCUGUGGUCCUAGCUACUCAGGAGGCUGAGGUGAGAGAAUCACUUGAGCCCAGAAAGUUAAGACUGCUAGGAGCCGUGAUUACACCACUGCACUCCUGGCUUGGGCAAUGAAGCACAACUGUGUCUCAAAACACACACACACACACACACACACACACACACACACACACACACACAAACAAAGAAACAAAAACCUUUGUUAAGCCACUCACACUUCCUGUUCUUCAAUUUGUUUUCUCUCUUGAGAAAGGGAAACCAUCAGCAGAAUCUCCAUUUCUACAUAAGGUUACAAAUAUAGUGGAAUUCAAUCAAUAGAAAGAUGGAUAGUCUUAGAAAAGUUACUUAAAACUUAAAUGUAGGACUAUGACUUCCUUUCAGUUAUUCUUCUCAAACAUGGACAGUUUCAAAUCAACUUACUACUGUUUUUUUUUGAGAGUGCUUGAGCUUUCAGAAAACCUUCUGCAAACCCAGUUUUCAAUGCAUUUUGGUGAGCUUCAGGUAUGUUUUUGGUUUUCAUGAGUCUGUCCAAACUCUCAACAUCUGAUCCUCUGUCCCGCAAAAGAAACCCGUGAAUACACAAACAACACAUCAAUACUGGUUAACGACACAGUGACAUUUCCCAACAAUAUUGUGACCACUCAAAUAAAUUCACUAAAAUUCUAUAAUUUUUACUGUCAAUGUGAAGAAAUGGAUUAAGACUCAACAAUGAAUUAAUCAAUAACUAGGAAACUAACACUAGAUCCUAUUCCUGCGUUAAUCAAUUAAUAGUAUCAAGAAGGUGGCAUUAUUCUCUGCAAGAAUACUAUACUGAAAAGAGGUCACAUGUUAUCUUAGAGUUUGAUUGGCUUAAUAUUCACAUCCCUUUAUCUCUGCUAGAGGAAUAAUUUCAUUAAUUUACUAAAUGUCUACUAAGCAGCAUUCACAUACUUGGUCUUAUAUAAGUUCUGAAGAUGUGGCCAGACGUGGUGGCUCACACCUGUAAUCCCAGCACUCUGGGAGGCCAAGGCGGGCAGAUCACGAGGCCAGGAGAUCGAGACAAUGCUGGCUAACUGGUGAAAUCCUGUCUCUACUAAAAAUACAAAAAAUUAGCUAGGCAUGGUGGCAGGCACCUGUAGUCCCAGCUACUCAGGAGACUGAGGCAAGAGAAUGGCAUGAACCCGGGAGGUGGAGCUUGCAGUGAGCUGAAAUCGAGCCACUGCACUCCAGCCUGGGAGAUAGCACAAGACUCCGCUCAAAAAAAAAAAAAAAAGGUUUUGAAGAUGUAAAUAUAAAUAAACCACUGGUCUUAAAGUUUUCAGUCUGUUGGAGAAACAUAUGUAAAUAGCUAAAUUUCUUAAAUCAUUUAGAUAUUAUAUUAGAAGUAUUAGGUAUGCUACCUCAGGAAGACAGGAAAGGUAUUAUAGAGAAUAGGACAUCUGAAACACCACUAUACAAAUUCCACUAUAUUUGUAACUUACUCUAUGUAGAAAUGGAGAUUCUGCUGAUGGUUUCCCUUUCUCAAGAGAGAAAAUAAACACCAUGAACAAUUUGACAGGGGUAUGGAACAAUUAGCCUUCAGUGCUCAAGAUCUACCAGCAAUCUUACAUAAGACUUCAAUGCCAAAAGAAGAGCAAGAAACAGAGGGGCAUAUUGAAUGGCGAGAAGAGAAACAUGGCAGGUAGAGACCAAAUGAUGAAAUUCCCAGUAUAUCAGGUAGAGGUAAGAAAUAAAGUAAAGUAAUGUAACUAGAUCAUGAUUUUAGAAGGACUGAUGGGUGGCAGUCUGGAGGUGCGACUGAAUGCAGCAAGACUAGAGGCAAGGAGACUAAACAAGUAUUCAUUAGAGUAAUUUAGGCAACAAAUGGUUAUAGCCUAUCUAUGGCAGUGGGACAGAUUUAAGAAAGAUUUAGGAGGUUGGGUCAACAGGACUUUAGUGGUUAAUGGAUGUGGGAGGUGAGGCAAGAUGGACAAAUGUAGGUUGGUAGCCAGGUUUUUAGCUUGGAUGAAUGCUGUUCAUUAAUGCAGAGAACACCUAAACAGGUGUAGGUUUGUGGGAAAAAAAUCUAGUAAGUAGAGAGGCAAGUCUGGUGGCCAGAAGAGUUAGAGGUAUAAUGAUGACACAGGUUACUAAUCCCUUAUUGUUAGUGGAAAGAAGGAAAAAAAUCUAUCAGCCAACGAAAGAAAUCAGAUGUUGAAGCUCCUCAUUGCUUGUUUGUUUGUUGGUUUGUUGUUUUUUGUGUUUUUGUUUUGAGAUGGAGUCUCACUCUGUCACCAGGCUGGAGGGCAGUGGAGCAAUCUUGGCUCCCUGCAACCUCCACCUCCCGGGUUCAAGUGAUUCUCCUGCUUCAGCCUCCCAACUAGCUGGGACUACAGGCGUCUGCCACCACGCCCGGCUAAUAUUUUGUACUUUUAAUAGAGACAAGGUUUCAUCAUAUUGGCCAGGAUUGUCUCAAUCUCUUGACCACGUGAUCUGCCCGCCUUGGCCUCCCAAAGUGCUGGGAUUACAGGCAUGAGCCACCGCACCCAGCCAAAUUAAACAAAUUUAAUUUGCACGCCUCCUGACCAAAUAAGAUCCUCAAAAGAUGUUUAUCUAAGAAAUUAAAUGUUUACUUCAUUGAGACUUCUCAAAAGUUUUGUUGGAUCUGCUGUAAAUUAAAUUUAAAAAGCUGUUGAAUGAAGUAUAUAAAAUAACUUAAAGUUGUGUUCCUAUAGACAAAGGCAAUUUUUUUUUAUUGUACCAUUUAAUCUAAAAUCAGUCAUGCUUGGUACAUGUUACACUUUCUUUCAUAAAUGUCAACAGGUCACGUUUUCAAAAGCAUUGUUAUUCAAAUGUAGCCAAUAAAAUGCCUACUACUUUAUUUGGCUUCUUCUUUUUUUUUUUUUUUUUUAGACGGAGGUUCGUUCUGUUGCCCAGGCUGGAGGGUAGUGGCGCGAUCUUGGCUCACCACAACCUCCACCUCCCGGGUUCAAGCAAUUCUCCUGCCUCAGCCUCCCGAGUAGCUGGGACAACAGAUAUUCACCACCAUGCUCGGCUAAAUUUUGUAUUUUUAGUAGAGACGGGGUUUUAUUAUGUUGGUCAUGCUGGUCUUGAAAUCCUGGCCCUGUGAUCCGCCCACCUUGGCCUCUCAAACUUCUGGGAUAAACAGGUGUGAGCCACUGCUCUCGGUCCAUUUUCAUUUUUCAAUAGCAUGUUCUUUAGACAUCAAUGUUCCAUUUCUUUAAAAUUUGAGAACAUAGAGGAGGCAUAUUUCAAAAAGAGUUAUACAUGGUAUGCACCAUCAGAUUGAGCCUCAUCAUGAUAUCUACUCAUAUCUGAGCACCAAAACUCACCAGUGGUUCUCUAUUUUUGAACAAACCGAUUAUUUGUAUUGAGUCUUCCUCAUCGUCAAUAUCUUCAGGCAUAGGAGGCAACAUAGGGUCAUAAUUCUUCUGAGCCACACUACUACGUACAGAAAGCAAAGCCUGUAACAUUCAAAGGUUGAUUUAAAUAUAUAUAUAUGAAAUAUAUCAUUUCAAACACAUCAAACUAUAAAGAAAAUCAAAACAGCAUUACAGUUUUGACAUAGUAGUGGUAAUAAGGCAGUUACUUGAACAGGUGCCUCUUACAAAUGGAAUGGGAAAUAGUGCUUGUCCAGAGAGCAGAUGGCAGCUCUACUUAGCAGCCACCUCUGUCCCCAAUGUCACUGAUGUAUGUAAAGAAUUAACAUAUGAUCUCCUCUAACCUGUACAUUCUCUGGUUUAUCCUUAUAAGGGUAUCAAUUUGGGGCAAGAGUGCAGGGGAUGUUAUUUUUGGAGGAAGGGAGAACAUGAGGGCUAAAGAUGCACUGUCAAUGAGAGUAUGAGAAUAUUCGAUAUUUUUUUCUUUCCUACGAUUUUUUCUCCUAUUACCAGAAAACACAACAAUGAUCAAUAUGAUGGAUUCUUUUUUUCCCCCUCACUUUAAUUGUUUGUGUAAUUGGUGACUACUAUGUGUAUAAAAUAAUAAAAGUAAUUCUGGACCAAAGAUGAGGAGAACACCAGAACUUUGACAUGUCAAUAUUCACUAUUCACUAUUUUAGAUGAGUGGGUUUUGGACUUUCAAUGAACUUGACCCCUAAUAAGCAACACCACUCAUUUUUCAUAAAUUACUCAAACCAAAAACCUAGAAAUCAUCCUUGAUUCCUCUCCUCUUACUGACAUUCCCAACAUCCAAUAUAUAUUCUAUUUUUAAAAAACUUUUUUUUAGACACAAGAUCUAGCUCUGUUACAUAUGCUGGAGUUCAGUGGUGGGAUGAUAGCUCGCUGCAACCUCAAACUCCCAGCCUCAAGCGAUCCUAUUUCCCCAGCUUCCUGAGUAGCCAGGAUUACAAACGCAUGCCCCAAUGCCCAGCUAAUUUUUUAAUUUUCUUUUUUUUUCUGAUAAGAGUCUCACUCUGUCACCCAGGCUGCAGUGCAGUGGCAUAAUCUGGGCUCACUGCAACCUCUGCCUCCUGGGUUCAAGCAAUUCUCUACCUCAGCCUCCCAAGUAGCUGGGAUUACAGGUGCCUGCCACCACAAGCAGCUAAUUUUUUGUAUUUUUAGUAGAUACAGGGUUUCAUCAUCUUGGCCAAGCUGGUCUUGAACUCCUGACAUCAUGAUCCACCCACCUCGGCCUCCCAAAGUGCUGGGAUUACAGGCAAGAGCCACUGCACCUAGUCCAUAUCCUAUUAAAUCUACUUCCAAAAUAUACCUAAAUUUUUUCUUUACUCUAGAUCAGAGAUUGGUAACUACAAUAUCUGUUUUUGUAAAUCAGGUUUUACUGGAACACAGCCAUACUUGUUCAUUCAUGCAUUGUUUAUGGCCGCUGUCAUGCUACAAUGGCAAAGUUUAGUAGGUAGAACACACACUUCUUACAUAAAAAGCUGGCAGGUCCCUGGUCUAGAUCAUGGAUGCCAUCAUUUUUUGCCUGGAGCACUGCAGUAGUCUUUAAAUGGCUCACUGGAAUUCAAUUCUGGUCCAUUUUCAAGUCCACAAUUCACAGUGUAGCCAGAAUAAUUAUUUUUAAAACUUAAUUACUCAAUUAACCCCUUAAGAGCCCUUCUAAAGUUGCCCAUCAAUCUUGGGAUGAAGACUAAACUCUCCAGGAUGUCCUAAAAUUCCUGCAUGCCUCUCCAACCUUAUUUUACACUGCGCUCCACCUCACUCAACUUGAACAACUCUUUCUCAUAGAGGUCUGGCCAAAACAUCUCAUAAAAGCAGAUCUCUCAGUGACUCGAUCCCAUAGCACCUUGUUCUUUGCCUUCAUACAUGUCCAUAAUUUAUAAGCAUAUGUGCAUUUUUAUGUUUAUAUCAUUAAUAUUUGCUGUUUACUGAAAUGGAAGUUCUAAAAUGGCAACUAGUGUCAGCUUUAAAUCAAACUUUUGUAUUGACUAUAACAUAUACAAAAAGUACAAAUCAUAAGUUAUAGUAGAAAGAAAAGGGGGAAAUGUGGGGAAAAGAAAGAGAUCAGAUUGUUACUGUGUCUGUGUAGAAAGAAGUAGACAUAGGAGCCUCCAUUUUGUUCUGUACUAAGAAAAAUUCUUCUGCCUUGAAAAAAAAAAGAGUCUUUUGAGGCAUAAAAAAAAUUUCAAACAUGAAUAUGCCCACAUAAACAACCCCCAAACAAGAAAUACAGCAUUAACCAAACUACAGUGGCCCCCACUUAUGCUCCUUCCUAGUCAUCAUGCCCUCUAUACCCAACAAGGUGUCAAUCUUUGCCUCUAUUUGAAAAUUAUAUAAUUAGGAUUCCAAUUAUAUAAUUCAUUAUAUAAUUGCUGUUAGGAACAAGCCCCCCAAAAUCUGGCCAUAAACAGGCCCCAAAACCGGCCAUAAACAAAAUCUCUGCAGCACCGUGACAUGUUCAUGAUGGCCGUAAUGCCCACGCUGGAAGGUUGUGGGUUUACCGGAAUGAGAGCAAGGAACACCUGGUCUGCCCAGGAUGGAAAACCUCUUAAAGGCAUUCUUAAGCCACAAACGAUAGCAUGAGCCAUCUGUGCCUUAAGGUUGUGCUCCUGCUGCAGUUAACUAGCCCAACCUAUUCCUUUAAUUCAGCCCAUCCCUUUGUUUUCAAUAAGGGAUAAUUUUAAUUAAUUUAAUAUCUAUAGAAACAAUGCUAAUGACUGGCUUGCUGCUAAUAAAUAUGUGGAUAAAUCUCUGUUUGGGGCUCUCAACUCUGAAGGCUGUGAGACCCCUGAUUUCCCAAUUCACAUGUCUAUAUUUCUGUGUGUGUGUGUCUUUAAUUCCUCCAGUGCCGCUGGGUUAGGGUCUCCCCAACAGAGAAGGUCUCAGCAAUUGUAUAAUGUACAUUAUAUAAUUAUAUAAAAAUGUGCAUUCAUUGCCCAGGCAUGGUGGCUCACGCCUGUAAUCCCAGCACUUUGGGAGGCCGAGGUGGGUGGAUCACCUGAGGCUGGGAGUUCAAGACCAGCCUGACCAAUAUGGAGAAACCCUGUCUCUACCAAAAAUAAAAAAAAUUAGCUGACAUGGUAGCAUGUGCCCGCAAUCCCAGCUAUUUGGGCGGCUGAGGCAGGAGAAUUGCUUGAACCCAUGAGACAAAGGUUGCAGUGAGCUGAGAUCACACCAUUGCACUUCAGCCUGGGCAACAGGAGUGAAACUCCAUCUAAAAAAAUGUGUAUUCAUUUAUUCCAAUAUUAAGUUAGUGAAAUUCACCCAUGCUGUUACUGAUGGUAGAAGUAAUUAAUUUUCCUUCUUAUAUAGUAUUCCAACAUAUAAAUAUCUUAGUUUUCCCAUUUUGCCUUUGAGGGUCAUCUGGGUUGUUUUUAGUUCUUGGCUAAUAUAAAUAAUUCUG
rnacentral:lncRNA from 10 species